rnacentral:rRNA from 1 species
GAUGAACGCUGGCGGCGUGCCUAAUACAUGCAAGUCGAACGAGAGCACCCGGUGCUUGCCCUGGUCACGCUAGUGGCGCACGGGUGAGUAACACGUGGAUAACCUGCCUAUCAGAGGGGGAUAACAUGCGGAAACGGUUGCUAAAACCGACUAACUUCUCGAACCGCAUGGUUCCAUACGGAAAGGCGGCUCUAGCUUCUGCUGAUGGCUGAUCCGCUGGUGCAUUAGCUAGUUGGUGAGGUAACGGCUAACCAAGGCCAUGAUGCGUAGCCGACCUGAGAGGGUGAUCGGCCACACUGGGACUGAGACACGGCCCAGACUCCUACGGGAGGCAGCAGUAGGGAAUCUUCCGCAAUGGGCGAAAGCCUGACGGAGCAACGCCGCGUGAGUGAAGAAGGUCUUCGGAUCGUAAAACUCUGUUGUUAGGGAAGAACAAGUGCGAGAGUAACUGUUAGCGCCUUGACGGUAUCUAACCAGAAAGCCACGGCUAACUACGUG